rnacentral:lncRNA from 1 species
AUGCACAGCUUCCUGUUUUGGUCUGAUAGCUUCCCCUGGGCUUUCAUAGAUGCAAAAUUACUCACACAGAGAUGGGUUGCCCAUGCAAAAAAGUUUUUUAUGGCAUUAGGGGAAGCUGUUGCUGCCUGUUUUGAAGAUGCCUCUCUUAUCUCAAUGGCAAGUUUUGGACACUUCCAUACUUAAGGCAUGAGAGACUUGAAGAGUCUCUUGGAUCAACAAGUCUGUUUUCCUUCCUCACCCUCCCAAGAGUUUAAGACUUCUCCAGGAGAAAAUUCAAUUGCCUCCAACCUACUCAUUACCUGGUGACUUCACUCAGUGAAUUCAUUCCUUUGCUAGGCUGACUUGCACAUUGACCCUGAUUUUUUUUUUCCUCAAGUGCCUUGUUUAGCUACAUUUUAUGACUCUGCUUUUGACUGAGGCAUACAGGUCAAACUAUUACUUUACAAAAGGAGGUUCACAAAGUGAAUAUUUCUUAAGUAAUUCUGGAAACCUGAGAGGAAAUGAUUAGGAGACACAAAGGCAUACAACCUAGUUUGUUGAGCUUCCAUAUUGAAAAAUAAUGGCUUUACAUAGAACAUAAGCACUCUCCAGAGAUGUUUCUACAAAACGCACUUAAAGUAGUCAAAGUAGUGCUGCUGAGAAAGGUUUCUGAUGCAGGGUUACAGAAAGAAAUUUCUAAACCCUAACCAAACUAAAAGGGGGUUUUCAGAAAAUGUCCUCUUCUCUCAAAGAGAGGUUAGGUACAUACGAUAAGUACUGAGUCAACAUUUGUUUUUUGCUAACCACUCAGUAAAUUCUAGAGCAGAGAUCUUACACUAAGCUGUAGUCCUAACAAUGAAAGCGGGACCUGUUUAGCAGUUUAUGUUUCUAUUGUACAGGAGAAUGACUUCCUAGCUUAAGUGACUAUGCCUUUAUUAGAGGUUGUUAUGAUGUAAAGGGAUUUCAAAUUCUUAUGGGUUAUAGGGGGGUAAUAAUUGACUCUUCUUACCUCGCUGUACUUCCCCAGUGAAUGCACAACAGACACCAUACAUGUCACUAAAUAAACCUAAGAUACGAGACCCUCUCCUCUCAGAAUUCCUAUAGGAUGUAAACAUGAGAGAGACUCUCUGGGCUUCUGACCUAGUCACCAAGUUGGACAUAAAAAGCAAGUAAAGGAAAUAGAGUAACAUGUAAGACUCCAAUAAGGUGUUCAGGUAAUGGUAUUGUGCAUGCAAUGAGGAUGCUGAAGACAUCUGAAGUGUCAUCAAAAAAAGUAGGACUUAAAAUUGUCAAGGACAGAGAGUUUGCUUAUAGCAAUAAUAGGAGAUGUGACUAGAACACUACACGGGGACAAUGGUGGGCAGAAUAUUUUGCCCAUGAAAAGUAUGUAUUUCAUUUUGUAGGCUACUAUAAGUUAUUUACUUAAGUUUUAGGUUUCCUGACUGUCUAGGUACAAAUGGAAUUAUAUAUUUUUUCAAAUGGAAAAAAAUGGACGUGUGCCAGUUAAACAGGACAAAAGUUGUUUGCUCCUGUUUAAGGGAUGAUGACUAACACUGCAGACAAUGCUUUAAACAGGGAUUUUGCUCACCUGGAGUAGGUCCUAAUUAUUCUCAAUGAAAGUCACAACCAUACACUUGACAUGUGACUUUGGGAAGACCAUUUUGAGAAAUCCCAUUAAUGAGUUCCAAACUUGGAGCUUUCUUUUUUUCUUCUUUUUAAAACAUGGAACUUUCUGAUGAUUUAACUUGAUAAAAGGGUUGACAUAUCCCUUAACUUAACCUCUCCAAACAACAGUUGCCUCACUAAAUGUUUCAGGCUUCCAGCAAGAAUUAUAUAGUAGAUUCUAGGAAGCAAUUUGGCAAUAACUACCAGAAAGAGCCUUGUAAAGGGUCAGCUCAUUGACCUAUUAAUUCCAUGUCUAGCAACCUACCCUAUCCAUAUUACAAUAAUCUGAAACACAUAAAGAUGUCCAUUUCAGUAUUAUCUAUAAUAGUAAAAAAAAAAAAGGAAAAAACAAGUUUUUAAUUGUAAACACAGUAGAUAUUACACAUAAUAAAAUACCAUAAGGCCAUUGACCUGAUAAUAAAUAAUAUUACUGGCAUGAGGCUUAGACAUAAAUGAAAUAAGCAAGAUGUAUAUGAAACUUAGAAUAGUUCUUAGCAUAUUAGUGAUUAUGCACUGGUAUUAAGUAUUAUUAGUAAUUGCUAUAUACAGUGUUAUCUAAAAUACGGUAAUGUGUAUAGAAAAGACAGAAAAAAUAUGUUAAGAUGCUAAUCACCAUAGCAUUAUUACCCGGAUUGAUCAUUAACAUGGCAUAACUAUUAAGAAUGAUUGUUUUGGUAUUUUACAAAUUCUCCACAAUCAGAGAUUGUACUUUAAUCAAAGAAAAAAAGCCUAUGCAAUUAUAAAGAGAAACUCUCACCAUCAAAGCUUAAGUUUGGUUCUCUCUUCUCCCACUGACUAAAGGGCAAUGAUGUAGUUUAAAUAUCAGACAUGUAAGAAGCAAAGUUGUUUAAAGUGAGAGGAAGUGCUUUGAAGCUGUUACGUCUAUGAAAGAUCUCUCCCAUCCUCAAAUGGAGGAUGGUAAUAGAGGCACUUGAAGAAAGCCCCAAAUUCUAUGCCGUUAAAACUGGAUCUCAAGAGGUCUGAAAAACUUUUGUUAAGUAAAGCAGUCGAGGGCUGCCCAGGUGGCAGUUAAGUGACCAAUUCUAAAGCUCAGUUUGUGAUCUUAGAGUCGUGAGAUUGAGCCCCGUGUCAGACUCCACACUCAGGGUGGAGUUGGCUUGAGAUUCUCUCUCCCUCUCUCUCUGCCUCUCCCAUUUAUGCUCUCUCUCUCUCAAUCAAAUAAAUAAAUAAAUCUUAAAAGAAGAAGAAGAAGAAGAAGAAGAAGAAGAAGAAGAAGAAGCAGCUUAGUUUCGUCUAGACCCCAGCUGCCCGGGUUUAAAUCGUGACUCUACUACCUUGUGGUUGUGUGACUUGAGCACGUCAUUUAGCCUUCUGUUCAACUGUUCUUUCACUCUUAUGAGGUUAUUGUGAGGAUGAAAGCAUGUAAAUGUAGAGUGCUUCAAAUAACACCUUGGUCUCUGCAAGAACUCAAUAAAUGUGAGCUAUUACUAAAUCAAAGGCUCUGUUUCUGAAGCUUGAUUGUAAGUCUUGUGUUGAACUCUGUGGCUCCUCGUGCCCUGGGCUGCCUCUGGCCUCUGUUAUAUUUUGUCAGCUGUUUUAGCAAGGACAUAAAGGAACUCCCUGUAAAAUGUCUUUCUAAACUCGGUCAAGAAAGGAAAAAGAACAGGUUCACAAUUAUUCACUCAUAGGCACAAAUGUCUUUUAUAAACUAAGGACAUCUUGCUUAUACAGAUGAUUGGUUCAAUAAUGGAAGGGUAACUUUAAUG